rnacentral:rRNA from 1 species
UUAGCGGCGGACUGGUGAGUAACACGUGGGUAACCUGCCUGUAAGACUGGGAUAACUCCGGGAAACCGGGGCUAAUACCGGAUGGUUGUUUGAACCGCAUGGUUCAGACAUAAAAGGUGGCUUCGGCUACCACUUACAGAUGGACCCGCGGCGCAUUAGCUAGUUGGUGAGGUAACGGCUCACCAAGGCGACGAUGCGUAGCCGACCUGAGAGGGUGAUCGGCCACACUGGGACUGAGACACGGCCCAGACUCCUACGGGAGGCAGCAGUAGGGAAUCUUCCGCAAUGGACGAAAGUCUGACGGAGCAACGCCGCGUGAGUGAUGAAGGUUUUCGGAUCGUAAAGCUCUGUUGUUAGGGAAGAACAAGUGCCGUUCAAAUAGGGCGGCACCUUGACGGUACCUAACCAGAAAGCCACGGCUAACUACGUGCCAGCAGCCGCGGUAAUACGUAGGUGGCAAGCGUUGUCCGGAAUUAUUGGGCGUAAAGGGCUCGCAGGCGGUUUCUUAAGUCUGAUGUGAAAGCCCCCGGCUCAACCGGGGAGGGUCAUUGGAAACUGGGGAACUUGAGUGCAGAAGAGGAGAGUGGAAUUCCACGUGUAGCGGUGAAAUGCGUAGAGAUGUGGAGGAACACCAGUGGCGAAGGCGACU